rnacentral:rRNA from 1 species
UGGGACCUACCAUGACGUACCCAUACUUGAGC